ACCGGCUUGAGGAGGCUUGUCAUGCUUCUGGAGGCGUCCUUGUGUUCUCAGUUGUUAACACCACGUGGUUAGGAUCUAUAAGUGACAUGUUUUGUUAUUAUCCCCUGUACCUAACAGGAGUUGAAGGCUGCUCAAGUGUUUGCUGAUGGUAAUUAGGAAAGUUAGGUUUCUUUAUGGUCACUUAAGUGUGUGCUUUUCCUUAACAAUUAAUCUCAUACCUAGUGGGUAGCUUAGAUAUGUUCAGAUUUUGGAUUUUUUUUUUUUAUCAGUAGGAACAACUACUGAUUAAAAGUAGCUUUCAUCCCAGAGAGAAAUUCUAUCUCAACAGUCCAGUGGUAUUUUUACGACAUACAGAAGCCUUUCAGAUCAAGGUUGAUCCCAGUGUCUGGAGAAUAGCUGUCUGGGUCCUAUAGGGACAGUUCUUAGCACAGUUCUUUGCUGAGAGGGCUGUCCUAGUGUCAUGUUCCUAGUCUAAAGUGUAGCUUGGAAUUCUGCUAGACCACUUAGCCUGUUUGGAUUUGAGCAUUCACUAGGUACAGGCGCUGGACCCUAGCACUCGACGCAAGGCAGGCAAUGGCAGGAGAAAUGAGAAUGGGAAUGGAGUCAUUUGAUAUCGAAAGGCUUAUUGCUCCAGGCAGUUGAGACUGUAUCCUCUUGUGGAAGAGAGGGGCACAGCUGACAUUCUGGGAAAUAGAUCUCAUUGAAUUCCUUUCUACCUUCUCUGUCUCACACUCUGGAGUUUUCUCUUUUUGGUAGAUACAAUUUACUAGCUACUUAAAAAAAAAGGCUUAUUGUAAGUUGGAAAUUUUAUAAUAGUGUAUGUUUAUAGGGGACACACUGUGGGCUAUUAUGCUAAUAUGAUAAACAAAUUAACCUCCAUCGACUGAAAUACUUAAUGUUUUUCUAUUUGAUUUAUACCAUGUUAAAGUGAGUAAGUAAUUAAUGGGAGUUGGAGGGCCAGCACAGCAGGAUCCACGGGAGUUGCGUGUAGUAGCAUACGGGGAACAGAAGACCAUAGCUGUUUAAGGAAAGUGGGAGACUGUGAAGUUAAUCAGACAGAAAAGUUUAGAAAGUCUGUCAAAUCAAAUCAACAAGCAUUUCUACUUUCUGAUCUUGUUAGUUUUUUGUUUGUUUGCUUUUUUUUUCUUUUUUGGGGUUUUUUGUUUUGUUUUGGUGGUUGUUUUGUUUUUGCCUGCCCAGUUGCUGAGUGCCAGCGCCAAGUAUGCUCUCGGGGGAUGGAGUUUGAUGAGAACAAGGGGCAGUAAGUACAAACGACAGGUUUAGGUCUGAAAGUUUCCAGCUUCCUAGCGAAGAGUUGGGAGCCUUGCAACAGUAGCAUUGAGAGCUUGAAUUACUCUCUCUAAAGUGCGUGGCACUGUGACAUUGGGGAGGAUCCAGAGAUAAACAAGAGUAGCCCCUGUGCAGUCCUCUCAGGCUGAGUGACAUUGACUGGAGAGAAAGGCAGAUGUCUAGAGACAGUAAGAACAUUCACACAGCCAUCCCCUGCUCUAGUUGGCUUGGAUCAGGCUGCUAGGAUUCCUAAAUGGGUUCUUUGACUAAUACAAAUGUUCUUUGAGUGAAACAAACUUAAUUUAGUUACUUGGGAGGAAGAGGAAAGAAACAGGAAUUAGAGAGACUAUACAUAGCCUCUUUGUGGCUUUCCUUUAUUAUUCUAAUGUGAUAAACAAUCCUAGAUAAUUUGACAACAGAUAAUGACAUAAUAUAUUUAACCUCUCUUUUAAGAAUAUUUGUUCACUUUUCAACUAAGGGAGUUUUGAGUCAUGGUGACCAGUAGGAAAAAAAUGUCUUUUUAAAAAAUGUCUAUUAAAUCAUUGGAUUGAUAAUUGGUUCACAGCAUACCAAUUAAAAACGUUUAAAUCAGAAUCCUGCCUAAAUGUUUGUGGUAUCAGGGAUGCUGCAUUUUAAAUUCAUGCUGUACAUAAUUUCAGGUAUAAUUUUUUAUAGGUCAUGCAGUCACAUGAUUCAUAAAAAGGAAUGGAAGGAUAAACAGUGGACAUAGGGAACAUAGGGAAGCUGGUUUUUUGUUUGUUUGUUUUUUAUAAAGGCAGGCACCAGUGUAGUUGCUAUCCAUUCUAGAUAUAUUUUAACUAUAAACUAAUAAAAAUACUCAUUCAAGAAGCUUUUGAUAACUCUCAUUUCAUAGUCUAUACACAGUGAUUGCACAUGCAGAAAAAUUAUAUUUUCUGGUCUCUUGUUAGGAAGGAAGACUUCUUUAAGGCUGUGAAAUACAUAAUAAAGUUACAUAUGAAUAAUGAUAACUUCAAAGUAGAGUGAUAUAAACAAGGAACAUAAAAAGAAAUGCCAAUCAAAACUGGCAAACAUAUCUUAGGAAAUGAGGAAGCUGUAUUUGAAUUCAGCAGUGCAGUCCAAAGGGAGCAAUAUACAUUUUCAUCACUUGUUAAAAAGAUGCUGAAAACUGCUUCAGAGACAGAGCAUUGGACCUUUUGAGAUUUGAGUUGUUGGUGAAUAUAUCAGAUGAGUCAGUCACAGGAGCCAAGAUUGGAAAGAUAAUCUUGGCCUCGUAGAUGUCCUUAAAAGAGAGUAGAACUGAAGUUUAGUCUGUAGGCCCAGUAGCUUUCGACAUUUUUUGAGUGUAAGAGUGAUAACAUCAGAGGUAGGCUAUAGAAAUGCCUAAUAGAAUGUGACUAGGCCAGAGUGAUCGAUAACAUUGUGAAGAGGGUUAAUGAGUGGCUGAGGCCUCAAGUCCCAGUGCUCCAGAGGCCUAAGCAGAUGAUCUGGAAGCCGAAGCCAGCCUUGGUCACACAGUGACCAGCCUGAGCUAUAGAAUGAGUUCUGGUCCAGGAAAGAGAAAAUAGUCAAGGUUUUAUUUGGCUUUAUUUGCACUAGUUACAUGGCAGGUGGAACUGAGAAGAUUUUUCAAGCGUUCUGUUGUGCCGGUCCCUUUAACCCAUACUCAGUACCAAACAACCCCCAGAGUCUCUCUGCCCUGGUUAGUUUUGUCGUCAGUGUGACACACCUGGACAAAAGGAAUUCAAUUGAAGAUUUGCCUUAGCCAGACUUGCCUGUGGGCAUGUCUGGGGCAUUUUCUUGAUGGCUAAUUGAUAUAGGAGGGUCCAGUCUGUGGGCAGUGUCCUCCCUGGGCUGUUGGGCCAGGGCUGUGUGAGAAAGGCACUUGACCCCAACAUUUGAAAUGCAAAUAAAUAAAAUAUCCAAUAAGAAGGAAAGAAAGGAAAGAGUAAGGAAAGCAGGCAGGCAGGCAGGCAGGCAGUUGACUAUGAGUCUGAAAAGAGCCAGUAAACAGCAUCCUUUCAUGGUCUCUACUUCAGGUCCUGCCUCAGCUUCCCUACAGCCUAUGAACCCAGUAAGCCCUUUCCUUCCCUCUAGUUGGUUUUGGUUAGUGUUCUAUCACAGAAACAAAAGGCAAACAGAACACCUACUGUUUACACUUCAGUGUGAAGGUUGAAGUCUUGAGAUGUGGUUGUCCUACGUUGAACCUUCUUAAUUCCGGUCAUUCCUGUGUUUAUUUCCAACUCUAGAAUCUUAAGCAGCUUUUUGUCUGAGUAGUACACAGUGAUGUCACCUUGGCAAUUGUUGUUGCUAGCUUAAAAAUGCUGUAGGGUUCAUUUCUAACCCAUAUCACACUGGGGUAGGCAGUGUCCUAGAUUUUCUUC
rnacentral:lncRNA from 1 species